GGGAAUUGUUCGCAAUGGGCGCAAGCCUGACGACGCAACGCCGCGUGGAGGAUGAAGACUUUCGGGUCGUAAACCCCUUUCGACCGAGAUGAAUUCCCGCCGACCUAACACGUCGGCGGGGUGACAGUAUCGAGGGAAGAAGCCCCGGCUAACUCCGUGCCCGCAGCCGCGGUAAUACGUAGGGGGCGAGCGUUGUCCGGAUUUAUUGGGCGUAAAGAGCUCGUAGGCGGCUUGGCAAGUCGGGUGUGAAACCUCCAGGCUCAACCUGGAGACGCCACUCGAUACUGCUAUGGCUAGAGUCCGGUAGGGGACCACGGAAUUCCUGGUGUAGCGGUGAAAUGCGCAGAUAUCAGGAGGAACACCGGUGGCGAAGGCGGUGGUCUGGGCCGGCACUGACGCUGAGGAGCGAAAGCGUGGGUAGCAA
rnacentral:rRNA from 1 species